rnacentral:rRNA from 1 species
UACGAAGGGGGCUAGCGUUGCUCGGAAUCACUGGGCGUAAAGCGCACGUAGGCGGAUUGUUAAGUCAGGGGUGAAAUCCUGGAGCUCAACUCCAGAACUGCCUUUGAUACUGGCGAUCUCGAGUCCGGGAGAGGUGAGUGGAACUGCGAGUGUAGAGGUGAAAUUCGUAGAUAUUCGCAAGAACACCAGUGGCGAAGGCGGCUCACUGGCCCGGUACUGACGCUGAGGUGCGAAAGCGUGGGGAGCAAACAGGGAUUAAGAAA